rnacentral:rRNA from 1 species
AAGACCUUGCACUUUUGGAGCGGCCGAUGCCUGAUUAGCUUGUUGGUAAGGUAAAAGCUUACCAAGGCUUCGAUCAGUAGCUGGUCUGAGAGGACGGCCAGCCACACUGGGACUGAGACACGGCCCAGACUCCUACGGGAGGCAGCAGUGGGGAAUUUUGGACAAUGGGGGCAACCCUGAUCCAGCCAUGCCGCGUGAGUGAAGAAGGCCUUCGGGUUGUAAAGCUCUUUCAGCCGGAACGAAACGGUUACGGUUAAUACCCGUGAUUACUGACGGUACCGGAAGAAGAAGCACCGGCUAACUACGUGCCAGCAGCCGCGGUAAUACGUAGGGUGCGAGCGUUAAUCGGAAUUACUGGGCGUAAAGCGUGCGCAGGUGGUUUUGUAAGUCAGAUGUGAAAGCCCCGGGCUCAACCUGGGAACU